rnacentral:rRNA from 1 species
AGUGAACGCUGGCGGUAGGCCUAACACAUGCAAGUCGAACGGCAGCACAGUAAGAGCUUGCUCUUACGGGUGGCGAGUGGCGGACGGGUGAGUAAUACAUCGGAAUCUACUUUUUCGUGGGGGAUAACGUAGGGAAACUUACGCUAAUACCGCAUACGACCUACGGGUGAAAGCAGGGGAUCUUCGGACCUUGCGCGAUUGAAUGAGCCGAUGUCGGAUUAGCUAGUUGGCGGGGUAAAGGCCCACCAAGGCGACGAUCCGAAGCUGGUCUGAGAGGAUGAUCAGCCACACUGGAACUGAGACACGGUCCAGACUCCUACGGGAGGCAGCAGUGGGGAAUAUUGGACAAUGGGCGCAAGCCUGAUCCAGCCAUACCGCGUGGGUGAAGAAGGCCUUCGGGUUGUAAAGCCCUUUUGUUGGGAAAGAAAAGCAGCAGGUUAAUACCCCGCUGUUCUGACGGUACCCAAAGAAUAAGCACCGGCUAACUUCGUG